UCUCAGAUGACUAUAGCUUGUGUCAAGUUGACAUACAACUAGCCAGCACCAUUCCUAUGCUUCAGAAGUGUUCUGGAAAAGAUUGGAAGACUGGGCUUUUGGACUGAAUAAAAGAUGGAGAGGCAGAAAGCCUGUCAAGCUCCAGAAUUUUCCCUCCUAAUGCCUUCAUCCAUCCAGAUGUUAUUAGCAAGUUCCUGCCAUAGCUUUGAGCCAUUCCAUCCCCAGCAUGGAUUCUGUUGACGUGAGACACGAUUGCUCCUGGCAGC